rnacentral:rRNA from 1 species
AUUGAACGCUGGCGGCAUGCCUUACACAUGCAAGUCGAACGCGAAAGGGGGGGCAACCCCCGAGUAGAGUGGCGAACGGGUGAGUAAUACGUCGGAACGUACCCAGUAGCGGGGGGAUAACCUCUCGAAAGAGAGGCUAAUACCGCAUACGACCUACGGGUGAAAGAGGGGGAUCGCAAGACCUCUCACUAUUGGAGCGGCCGAUGUCGGAUUAGCUAGUUGGUGGGGUAACGGCCCAUCAAGGCGACGAUCCGUAGCUGGUCUGAGAGGACGACCAGCCACACUGGAACUGAGACACGGUCCAGACUCCUACGGGAGGCAGC